AUUGAACGCUGGCGGCAGGCCUAACACAUGCAAGUCGAGCGGAUGAAGGGAGCUUUCUCCUGGAUUCAGCGGCGGACGGGUGAGUAAUGCCUAGGAAUCUGCCUGGUAGUGGGGGAUAACAUCCGGAAAAGGGCGCUAAUACCGCAUACGUCCUGAGGGAGAAGGUGGGGGAGCUUCGGACCUCACGCUAUCAGAUGAGCCUAGGUCGGAUUAGCUAGUUGGUGGGGUAAAGGCCUACCAAGGCGACGAUCCGUAACUGGUCUGAGAGGAUGAUCAGUCACACUGGAACUGAGACACGGUCCAGACUCCUACGGGAGGCAGCAGUGGGGAAUAUUGGACAAUGGGCGAAAGCCUGAUCCAACCAUGCCGCGUGUGUGAAGAAGGUCUUCGGAUUGUAAAGCACUUUAAGUUGGGAGGAAGGGCAGUAAGUUAAUACCUUGCUGUUUUGACGUUACCAACAGAAUAAGCACCGGCUAACUUCGUG
rnacentral:rRNA from 1 species